GUCGAGCGAUGAAAUCUUAACAGAACCCUUCGGGGCGAAGAUAAGACGGAUCAGUGGCGGACGGGUGAGUAACACGUGAGUAACCUGCCUUUUACACAGGGAUAGCCUCGGGAAACCGGGAUUAAAACCUGAUGAAACUAUCAAAUCACAUGAUUAAGAAAGUUAAAACUCCGGUGGUAAAAGAUGGACUCGCGUCCCAUUAGCUAGUUGGUGAAGGUAACGGCCCACCAAGGCAACGAUGGGUAGCCGGCCUGAGAGGGUGAACGGCCACAUUGGAACUGAGAAACGGUCCAAACUCCUACGGGAGGCAGCAGUGGGGAAUAUUGCACAAUGGGGGAAACCCUGAUGCAGCGACGCCGCGUGAGCGAAGAAGGCCUUCGGGUCGUAAAGCUCUUUUAUAUGGGAAGAUAAUGACGGUACCAUAAGAAAAAGCCCCGGCUAACUACGUGCCAGCAGCCGCGGUAAUACGUAGGGGGCUAGCGUUGUCCGGAAUCACUGGGCGUAAAGGGUUCGCAGGCGGCAAUGCAAGUCAGAUGUAAAAGGCAAAGGCUCAACCUUUGUAAGCAUCUGAAACUGUAUAGCUUGAGAAGUGUAGAGGCAAGUGGAAUUUUUAGUGUAGCGGUGAAAUGCGUAGAUAUUAAAAAGAAUACCGGUGGCGAAGGCGACUUGCUGGGCACAAUCUGACGCUGAGGAACGAAAGCGUGGGGAGCAAACAGGAUUAGAUACCCUGGUAGUCCACGCCGUAAACGAUGAGUGCUAGGUGUCGGUAUAAAUCGGUGCCGCAGUUAACACAAUAAGCACUCCGCC
rnacentral:rRNA from 1 species